GCCUGCAGGGAAGGGCUGUAGUUCAGUGCUACAGCAUCUGCUAUGCAUGCAGGAGAUCCCAGGUUCAAACCCUGGAAUUUCCAGGCA